UACGUAGGUGGCGAGCGUUGUCCGGAUUUACUGGGCGUAAAGAGCGCGCAGGCGGCUGGUCAAGUCCGAUGUGAAAGCUCCCGGCUUAACUGGGAAAUUGCAUCGGAAACUGAUCGGCUGGAAGGUGGGAGAGGGUAGCGGAAUUCCCGGUGUAGUGGUGAAAUGCGUAGAUAUCUGGAGGAACACCGGUGGCGAAGGCGGCAUCCUGGACCAAUACUGACACUGAGGAGCGAAAGCCAGGGGAGCAAACGGG
rnacentral:rRNA from 1 species